AACGAACGCUGGCGGCAUGCCUAACACAUGCAAGUCGAACGAGACCUUCGGGUCUAGUGGCGCACGGGUGCGUAACGCGUGGGAACCUGCCCUUAGGUUCGGAAUAACUCCCCGAAAGGGGUGCUAAUACCGGAUAAUGUCUUCGGACCAAAGAUUUAUCGCCUUUGGAUGGGCCCGCGUUGGAUUAGCUAGUUGGUAGGGUAAAAGCCUACCAAGGCGACGAUCCAUAGCUGGUCUGAGAGGAUGAUCAGCCACACUGGGACUGAGACACGGCCCAGGCUCCUACGGGAGGCAGCAGUGGGGAAUAUUGGACAAUGGGCGAAAGCCUGAUCCAGCAAUGCCGCGUGAGUGAUGAAGGCCUUAGGGUUGUAAAGCUCUUUUAACCGGGAUGAUAAUGACAGUACCGGGAGAAUAAGCUCCGGCUAACUCCGUG
rnacentral:rRNA from 1 species